rnacentral:rRNA from 1 species
UGCGCAGGCGGCCGUGUGUGUCAGGUGUGAAAUCCCGGGGCUCAACCCCGGAACUGCGCCUGAAACUACAUGGCUAGAGCAUUGGAGAGGGUAGCGGAAUUCACGGUGUAGCAGUGAAAUGCGUAGAUAUCGUGAGGAACACCAGAGGCGAAGGCGGCUACCUGGACAAUUGCUGACGCUCAGGCACGAAAGCGUGGGGAGCAAAAGGGAUUAGAUACCCCUGUAGUCCACGCCCUAAACGGUGCACACUAGGUCUUGGCGGAUUCGACCCCACCAGGGCCCAAGCUAACGCGUUAAGUGUGCCGCCUGAGGACUACGGCCACAAGGCUAAA